AACUUAAGCAUAUCAAUAAGCGGAGGAAAAGAAACUAACAAGGAUUCCCCUAGUAACUGCGAGUGAAGCGGGAAAAGCUCAAAUUUAAAAUCUGGCAGUGUUUCGCUGUCCGAGUUGUAAUUUAGAGAAGUGUUUUCUGAACUGGACCGUGUACAAGUCUCCUGGAAUGGAGCGUCAUAGAGGGUGAGAAUCCCGUCUUUGACACGGACUACCAGGGCUCUGUGAUACACUCUCAAAGAGUCGAGUUGUUUGGGAAUGCAGCUCAAAAUGGGUGGUGAACUCCAUCUAAAGCUAAAUAUUGGCGAGAGACCGAUAGCGAACAAGUACCGUGAGGGAAAGAUGAAAAGCACUUUGGAAAGAGAGUGAAACAGUACGUGAAAUUGCUGAAAGGGAAACGCUUGAAGUCAGUCGCAUCUGUUAGAAUUCAGCCCUUGUGGUGUACUUUCUAUAUAGAUGGGCCAGCAUCACUUUUGGUUAUUGGAAAAGGGUAGGGGAAAGGUAGCACUCAUUUAUUUGGGUGUGUUAUAGUCCUCUAUUAAAUACAGUAGCUAGGAGUGAGGAAUGCCUUUGUAGGAUGCUGGCGUAAUGGCUUUAAACGACCCGU
rnacentral:rRNA from 1 species